rnacentral:rRNA from 1 species
CUGCGGAGGAUCAUUAUUGUAAAACAGAGGGGGUGUCCUCCUCCCUGCUCCGGCUUUGCGGCCGUGAGCGGGAUGUCGCGCCCCUUUCCACAACCAAACCCCUGUGCACAUCUCUGGGGACUUCUGGUGGGUUUGCGCCUGCCGAGUCCCUGGCUUUACACAAACUCUUCUAUGUCUAUAGAAUGUCCAAGGACCUCGUGUCCUGUUAACAAAUAACAACUUUCAACAACGGAUCUCUUGGCUCUCGCAUCGAUGAAGAACGCAGCGAAAUGCGAUAAGUAAUGUGAAUUGCAGAAUUCAGUGAAUCAUCGAAUCUUUGAACGCACCUUGCGCCCUUUGGUAUUCCGAGGGGUACACCCGUUUGAGUGUCAUUGUAAUCUCACUUCGACAACUUCUUUGUUGUCUGGAGGUGGACUUGGACCCUGCUGUGUCACAAUGGCUGGUCUGAAAUGCAUGAGUGCACCCUGCUGUAGCAGCGUCUUCAGUGUGAUAAGUAUCUUCACUGAUUCAAGCUCCCCUGUGGGACACGCUUGUCUGGUGGGCUCUGUGCUUCUAACCGUCCACAUGGACAACUCUUGACAAUUUGACCUCAAAUCGGGUGGGACUACCCGCUGAACUUAAGCAUAUCAAUAAGCGGAGGAAAAGAAACUAACAAGGAUUCCCCUAGUAAUGGCGAGUGAAGAGGGAAAAGCUCAAAUUUUGAAUCUGGUACCUUUGGUGCCCGAGUUGUAAUCUAGAGAAGUGUUUUCUGCCUUGGACCACGCAUAAAUUCCCUGGAAUGGGGUGUCAUAGAGGGUGAGAAUCCCGUUUGUGGUGUGGACUACCUUGGCUUUGUGAUACACUCUCAACGAGUCGAGUUGUUUUGGAAUGCAGCUCAAAAUGGGUGGUAAAUUCCAUCUAAAGCUGAAUAUUGGCGAGAGACCGAUAGCGAACAAGUACCGUGAGGGAAAGAUGAAAAGCACUUUGGAAAGAGAGUGAAACAGUACGUGAAAUUGUUGAAAGGGAAGCGCUUGAGGUCAGUCACAUCUGUCAGGACUCAGCCAGGCUUCUGCCUGGUGUACUUCCUGGCCGGUGGGUCAGCGUCAGUUUUGACCGAGGGAGAAAGGCUUGGGGAAUGUGGCUGUCUUCGGGCAGUGUUAUAGCCCCUUGUUGUAUGUCUCGGUUGGGACUGAGGAUCGCAGCACGCCUUAUGGCCGGGGUUCGCGCCCUCGGUACGUGCUUAGGAUGCUGGCAUAAUGGCCUUAAGCGGCC